GGGUCGGUGCCGGAGUGGACAAACGGGCCUGGCUGUAAACCAGGUGGCGAAAGCCUUCGGAGGUUCGAAUCCUUCCCGGCCCA
rnacentral:tRNA from 1 species